GCAGAAGGUACAAGACUGACAGCACUGGAAACUUAUUUACUGUAUGGGUAAUGGCAGUGCAAGCUCCUGUCUGGCCUCUUUAAUGUGCUUCCACUCUGACCUAGAGGUACCAGUGCUAGGGAGGAGAGAGCAAUUCAGUCUCCAUGCUUAUUUGGUCCUUCAUCUCU
rnacentral:sRNA from 1 species